rnacentral:rRNA from 1 species
UUUAAAAUUGAGAGUUUGAUCCUGGCUCAGGACGAACGCUGGCGGCGUGCUUAACACAUGCAAGUCGAGCGAUGAAGCUUCCUUCGGGAAGUGGAUUAGCGGCGGACGGGUGAGUAACACGUGGGUAACCUGCCUCAAAGUGGGGGAUAGCCUUCCGAAAGGAAGAUUAAUACCGCAUAAUAUGAGAGAAUCGCAUGAUUUUUUUAUCAAAGAUUUAUUGCUUUGAGAUGGACCCGCGGCGCAUUAGCUAGUUGGUAAGGUAACGGCUUACCAAGGCAACGAUGCGUAGCCGACCUGAGAGGGUGAUCGGCCACAUUGGAACUGAGACACGGUCCAGACUCCUACGGGAGGCAGCAGUGGGGAAUAUUGCGCAAUGGGGGAAACCCUGACGCAGCAACGCCGCGUGGGUGAUGAAGGUCUUCGGAUUGUAAAGCCCUGUUUUCUGGGACGAUAAUGACGGUACCAGAGGAGGAAGCCACGGCU